UACGGGGGGGGCGAGCGUUGUUCGGAAUUACUGGGCGUAAAGGGUUCGUAGGUGGCCUGCUAAGUCAGACGUGAAAUCCCUCAGCUUAACUGGGGAACUGCGUCUGAAACUGGCGGGCUUGAGUGCAGGAGAGGAACGCGGAAUUCCAGGUGUAGCGGUGAAAUGCGUAGAUAUCUGGAGGAACACCGGUGGCGAAGGCGGCGUUCUGGACUGCUACUGACACUGAGGAACGAAAGCCAGGGGAGCAAACAGG
rnacentral:rRNA from 1 species